rnacentral:rRNA from 1 species
UACAGAGGUCCCAAGCGUUGUUCGGAUUCAUUGGGCGUAAAGGGCGCGUAGGCGGCCUGUUAAGUCGAACGUGAAAUCCCCGGGCUCAACCCGGGAACUGCGUCCGAUACUGGCAGGCUUGAAUCCGGGAGAGGGAUGCGGAAUUCCAGGUGUAGCGGUGAAAUGCGUAGAUAUCUGGAGGAACACCGGUGGCGAAGGCGGCAUCCUGGACCGGCAUUGACGCUGAGGCGCGAAAGCCAGGGGAGCAAACGGG